UUACUCAGAAUUCUCAGUUUUUGUGGCAGGUAAUGAUGCCUUAAAACCAAGAUGGCUUGUGGAUUAUCUUAAAAGAAUUUCUGAAAAGCGGAGAAAUGAAUUUCGCCAAAAAAUGGCCAAGGUUCAGCCAAUGUUAGAGUAUGAUAAUGGCCAUCCUGGCGGUAUUGGACCGGUUCCUCCAGAUGGUGCAGUGAAUCACAUAUGGAGGAAGGUCCAGCAAAAAUUGCCCAUGAUUAAGGAAACCAUUGUUAGAGAUAAGAGAAAACCUGCAGGA
rnacentral:misc_RNA from 1 species